GGGGAUUUAGCUCAGUGGUAGAGCGCUUGCCUAGGAAGCGCAAGGCCCUGGGUUCGGUUCCCAGCUCG
rnacentral:tRNA from 1 species